rnacentral:tRNA from 1 species
GCCUGGGUGGCUCAGUCGGUUGGGCAUCCGACUUUGGCUCAGGUCACGAUCUCGCGGUAUGUGGGUUCGAGCCCCGCGUCGGGCU